rnacentral:misc_RNA from 1 species
GUUCUCUCUAAAAAGUUCGAAAUUUUUAGCGCAUUGAUUCGCCAAUUCUCGAAGGCAGCUGAGUUAGGGUUACUGAGUCAGUAAUGGCCGAUUUUCAGACAUCGACUCACAAAGCCAAGUGGAUCUUCACCUCUCAACUGCUGGUUGAGAAGCACAAAGUUACUAAUCAAAGAGCCAAGCAAAUGCUGGAGAAGUAUGGAACAACAAGAAUGGAAGUAGAUGUUGAUGGAUCACUGUCAUACCCUGAACCUCAAGUUAACGCAGCAGACAAUGCUGAUAAGCAUUCUCGUCCAAAAUCGCUCAGUGUUGAAGAAGAACAAUUUAUGCGAGUAUACUAUGAAUAUAAACUUCGAGAAGUGUGCAGUGCCUUUUACUUUCCUCAUAAAAUUCAGGCAACAGCACUCAUAUACUUCAAGAGGUUUUAUCUUCAAUGGUCGGUCAUGGAACAUGAUCCAAAACAUGUAAUGUUAACCUGUAUAUAUGCAGCUUGUAAGAUCGAAGAAAAUCAUGUAUCAGCAGAGGAGCUUGGUAAGGGGAUUUCACAGGAUCAUCAAAUGAUUCUCAAUUAUGAGAUGAUAGUGCUCCAGAGCUUGGAAUUUGAUCUUAUUGUAUAUGCUCCAUAUCGUUCAGUUGAAGGUUUUAUCAAUGAUAUGGAGGAAUUCUGUCAUGCAGCGGAUGACCAAAUUCAAAUGCUGAAGGAUUUGCAAGCAACUGCAACAGCGGAGGUUGACAAAAUCAUGUUUACUGAUGCACCACUGCUUUUUCCUCCUGGGCAGUUGGCAUUGGCUGGUUUGCGAAUUGCAAAUGAGAUGCACCAGGGUCUUGAUUUU